rnacentral:rRNA from 1 species
GUAGGGCGCAAGCGUUAUCCGGAAUUAUUGGGCGUAAAGAGCUUGUAGGCGGUUCGUCGCGUCUGGUGUGAAAGCCCAUCGCUUAACGGUGGGUCUGCGCCGGGUACGGGCGGGCUAGAGUGCAGUAGGGGAGACUGGAAUUCCCGGUGUAACGGUGGAAUGUGUAGAUAUCGGGAAGAACACCAAUGGCGAAGGCAGGUCUCUGGGCUGUUACUGACGCUGAGAAGCGAAAGCGUGGGGAGCGAACAGGAUUAGAUACCCUGGUAGUCAAGGGCGAAUUCGUU